GCCAUUUCCUAAAACCUACAUUGUGGUUAGUGAAAUAUUUAUGUGUUGCACUCCAGAAACCUAUUAUUUAUGAUGCCCAAACAGGAAGGAUUGCAUCUGAUGACCACAUUUUCAUUUAGCUGUGGGAAGGAACAAAUUGCAGUUGAAUUACUAACAUGGAAACAAAUCAGACAGGGCGCAAAUGAUUUGUUUAGCCAGAGACUAGCUUGUCAGGAAGCUGUGCUGUAAUAUGGUGCACAGAAAAAUCUGUGUAUCGUUACCUUCCAACAGGUUGUCAAAAAUCAGCAGGCUGAGGGAGUUUUCAACAAAGGGUUAUAGCUACUCUUACAGAAGACAUAAGAAGAUAUAUACGCAGAGAAGACAUCAUAAGACCUGAAGAUGAAAAACUUCUGAUCACAGAAGAAAGAUAUACAACAGCCUUGAAGCAUUCUGAGAACCCAGUGAAGGCAAUAAUGUCUCUUCCCAGAGAAAUUCACAGGAGCAAGACACAGAAGACAUGGAGAUCCAUGUAGAAUCAUAAGAAGGUAAAGAAGAAGGAAAAAAUGUAGCCCCUAGAAGCUUGGAACUGCCCUCAGACUACAGCCAGGAAGCAGACAGGGACUUCAGUUCCACAGCCACAAGGAGCUGAAUUCUGCCAACCAGAAUGAGCAAGAACAUGGAUUCUCCCCUCAAGCCUCCAGAAAAGAAUGCAGCCUACAGUCAGCACUUUAAGUCCCAUGCAACCUAUAAUAGAUUUCUGACCUACAGAGCUUUAAUGUCAUAAAUUGGUGUUGUUUUAAGUCAUGAAGUUUGUGGUAGCUUCUUAUGACAGUAAUUGAAAACUAAUACCUGGUCUUUUUAGCAGAAUAACGAGCACCCUGUAAUGUGUCAUUCAUGCAUAUCUUUUUUUUUUUUUUUUUUUUGGUGGGGGCAGGAAGACAAAACUCUAGAGUUUAAUCUUCCAGCUGACUGACUUGGAAGUGUUCCUGUCAAUAUAAAAGAUCUUGUUGGGGG
rnacentral:lncRNA from 10 species